UUAAUGUUUUCUUUUUCUUUUUUCUCUUUGCUUGCCUAACUUUGCUGCUUAAAAUGAGAGUGAGGUCUGUAAGCAACCCUACUUUUCUGCUGAGGACUAGAAGUGACUACGCAUAGAAACAAGGUGUGGGGAGAAAGAAUAAGCACAGGGCUCCUUUGUCUGCUGAAUAUCCCACUCUGGCUCCAGAUUUCUAACCUACAGCCAUAUCUCUCAGGAAGAUAAGCCUGGCUGAUUUCUACAUCCAAAUGAAUUGCUGUCUUUAGAAUCUUCUUCCACUAGUCGCUUAAGAGAAGAAAGAACGUGUAUAUUCCUCCUUGAAAGAGUUUUGUUCCAUCAACAUAACUGAGGCAUUUUAGAAUAUCUAGAAGAAUGGAUCCGUGUUUUAUGUCUUUAAAAAGCUUUUUCUAGUGAAAGAUAGAUAUCUUCUAUAGUUCAAGUGGAUUAGGAGUUUGAUAUGUGAAUGCUUU
rnacentral:lncRNA from 1 species